rnacentral:rRNA from 1 species
CCGUGCAAAGGUAGCGUAAUCACUUGUCUUUUAAAUAAGGACUAGUAUGAAUGGCAUCACGAGGGCUUAGCUGUCUCCCUCAUCUAAUCAGUGAAACUGAUCUUCCUGUGAAAAAGCAGGAAUUAACACAUAAGACGAGAAGACCCUAUGGAGCUUUAAACCAAAAACUACCUGUUUAAUCUAUUAUUCUAAAAUAAUUUCAAAUCAACCGACCUAGUCUAGGUUUUCAGUUGGGGUGACUGUGGAGAAAAAUAAAUCCUCCACGCAGACUUAAGCUUUGAGCAACCGCUCUACGCAUUAGCAAGUCUAACUGCACUUGAUCCAAUAUUUUUGAUCAACGGACCAAGUUACCCUAGGGAUAACAGCGCAAUCCAUUUCAAGAGUCCAUAUCGACAAAUGGGUUU